rnacentral:miRNA from 1 species
UGUCACAUCCUGGUUGGACAUGAA